ensembl:lncRNA
CACAUUUUUCUCAAAGCAGCUGGGGUUGCCAGAUACCCUUUUUAAUAUGGGACUUCCCAUAUUUAAGCCUCAAAUCUCAAAUGCUGUAUUAAAAACACGUGAUGCAUUGCCUGCUCUUGUAUUUCCUCUACAUUUUAAUAGGGGACACACGUUGUGAGGUUGAAACGCAGAAAAUCCUGCAGCUGCUUUCCUGCCCUGGUCUUAUGGCCUCCUCUGGGAGCAGAGAGACACGAUCCAGUUGGUGGCUGUGACAGGAGCGAGAACUGGAGCAGCCCUAAGGAGCUGAGGAGGGCUGCAGGGCAAUGAGCACACUGAGGCACCAGGAAUGCACACCGGUGUAUUAAAGUUCAGAAUGCAGCAACUCCCCUCUGCUGCCCCAUGUCAGGUGUACUUGAUCCUCCUGCCAAGGACUCACUAAUGUGAUAAGAAAAUAAAUAUUUUUGUUUUGUAGGCAAUACUUUUGCUUAUACAGCUCAGGAGAUAGCAAUCCAGGUCACUAACUUCGGUUUGGGAUUCUCUAUGAUCUCUCCUCUACAAAAUACUAGCCAGAUAGUCAUGCUUUGUCCUGCAUUUGGUUACUUGUUCUCUCUAAGUACCUUGUCACCUCGUCUUUACUGAAGUUGACUUCUUUUUCACCAGAACACUUCUCAACUUGUCAGGAUCAUUCUGACUUCCAAGUCCUGCCCUCCAUUGCUCUCGCCAUUUCUCCAAGCCUGGUGUCAUCUGUGCGUUUAAUAAGUCUGCUUGCUUAUAAAGCAUACAAAUUGUUAAAGAAAACACUAGAACCAGACCUUGGACAGAUCUUUGAACUAUAUGUGAUGUCUCUUUAAUUUAUUUCCUCAGAGAAGCAUCUACUCUGUUAUUUGGAGCAAUUCAGGAGCGGAACAGAUUCCCACAGACAAUUUCCACGGAUACUACACAACACGGAGGUCUAAGCUUGCUUCUUCCGCUUCCAGAUGUGUGGAAUUACUGCAUUGCUCACAGCAUCAGCUCUUGUCUCUGGAAGCAAAGUCUGGAAGGCAUCCCAACUGUCCUCAUCCCUCCCCUCCGCGGCAGUAUCACUGUUCUGUGGACACAUGUGCAGAUCUAGCUGGAGCUGAUGAUCAACCCAAAGGAGGAACCGUCUCAGUCCUGAGAAUACAAAAUAGCUACCACAAAAGACAGCAGUGGUUCGUCUGUGGGUUCCCAUGCAACUUGGAAAUACAAGAGAGAAAUCAUCAUUGCCUUUUGCAGCCUGUAAGAUUUGUGACAGCCAAUUGCAGCGAUAUCCAUAACUUCUGAAAAAGAAAACAUCAUUUUUCUCCUACUGGCAUAUCUCAACUGCACGAGAAGCGUUUCUUUCAGCAUCACCGAAGGUCUGGGAUAUCUCACUUCAUGAAUCACAUUAGAUGUCUUCUCCUAAUUUUGUACGACCAUCUGUGAAUCUUUCCAACCCAGGUUCCAUCAGGAGCAGGAUCUGGCAGUUGGAAGAGAUUUGAGACCAACUCACUCGAUCCUUUUCCUGCUGCUCAGGCUGAUGAUAUUUCAGCAUAAAAGGAGGCUUUGAGCUGGUGUUGACUGCUCUUUCUCCUCUUUUCAAGGUAGUGGCAAAUUCAUCCUUACGGAGUAAGGAUGUCUUUGCAGGAUCACUAAUACCCUUCUUGGUAAUUCAGUUGCAGUGCAAAGCUUUGGAUGACUGAAGUGGGAAGGAUAGAGGAAAGAAAAGCAACCCAAAAGGGAAGUUAUCCUGAAGAGCAGGAAGGCUGAGAAUUGGGACCUCCAGUUUCUCUAAGCCUUCACCAGCACACCUGCUUGAGGGGCCGCAGAACUCCAAAGUUCAUCAAUACUAUGUGAAUCACUGCUGGAGACUGACAUUAGAAAUCCAUCUUCAUGCUGGCCUGGUUCCUCAUCUCCUACAUCACUAAAUUACAACUUAAAUCCAAAUAUCUCCCAAAUGUUUUGAUACAAGACCUAAAAAACCCCCAUUUCUCAGCUCCCUGAAGACUUCAUAGACCAUAUGCUUCUCAAAGGAGAAGUUAUGCUGUUUCACUUCUUUCUAAUGACUGUUGGCCAAUGGGAAAAUGUAUAACUGAACAACUUAGGUUAUGUCCGCUUGGAGAAGUUGAAGAUUUCGUUAGAUGCUGGACAACAAUAUUCACAUCCAAAGCACUCAAUUUCCAUGCUGCAUCAGGCUUAGUCUCAGUCUCCCCAGAACACAGUGAAAAGACGUGACAGUAGCUUUCUGUGUAGAAAUAUAUUUGGCAAAUAUAUAAACCCUGCAGAGCAUCCCUUGAGAGGCUAAAGGAAUUUAAACUUAAGUCCCAUGCAGAUCUCCUCUAAGGUGUUAUUUUCCCCCCUAAAUACCAUGUUGAAAUUCUACUUUUACCAAGUUUAAAACUGGAAGCUACAUUAUGUUUGCAGAACUGGAAAUCUCAGUGAAUAAAUAAAUCUUGAGAAGCACAGCUACAGGGAAACAGGCACAGACCUUGCACCAUUCACAGCUUUAAAAAAAGUGUUGGAGCUUAGUAAAGCCAGCAUCACACACACAGCAAAUUAGAAGGAGGGCACGCUCUCCUCAUGAACUUGGGGAAAACCCACACAUUUCAAAAGCACAUAAUUCAGCUGUAAAAUGUUAACAACUGUUUUCCAGACUUCGCUUUGGUAUACAAAAUUCAGCCCAGAAACUCUUCCAUUUCACAAAGUAUGGUUCAAAUUAAGGGGAAAAAACAACCCUUUACAUAUCUUUGCAGUGUUUUUUUUUUUUCCACAACACCAGAGUUCUGUCAAAGUGGGAAUCUUCAUAAAAACAACUAUUCAUAUUCUAUGGUUUAUUUAUGCAAAUUGGAUGGGCAAUGUUAAUUAAAUGAACACUUAGAUCUGUGUAGACCUUUUUACCAGUAGGUUUCAAGAAGAUAAAGUAUGAGAACCUUACUUUGGAACCAAAGAAAUGAAGAUCUGGAUAGGUUGGAUAGCUGGGCUGAAGCCAAUGGGAUGGGAUUCAACAAGACCAAAUGCCGGGUCCUGCACUUUGUCCACAAUAACCCCAGGCAAUGCUACAGGCUUGGGGCAGAGUGGCUGGAAGACUGUGUAGAGGAAAUGGACCUGGGGGUGUUGAUUGACACUAGACUGAACAUGAGCCAGCAGUGUGCCCAGGUGGCCAAGAAGGCCAAUGGCAUCCUGGCUUGUAUCAGAAAUAGUGUGGCCAGCAGGAACAGGGAAGUAAUUAUCCCCCUGUACUCAGCACUGGUGAAGCCACACCUUGAGUACUGUGUCCAGUUUUGGGCCCCUCACUGUAAGAAAGACAUCGAGGCCCUGGAGCGUGUCCAGAGGAGGGCAACAAAGCUGGUGAGGGGUCUGGAGCACAGGCCUUAUGAAGAGCGGCUGAAGGAGCUGGGAUUGUUCAGUUUAGAGAAGAGGAGGCUCAGAGGAGACCUUAUUGCUCUCUAUAACUACCUGAAGGGAGUUUGUAGUGAGCUGGGGGUCGGCCUCUUCUCUCAGGUGACUAGUGAUAGGACUAGAGGGAAUGGCUUCAAGCUGCACCAGGGAAGAUUCAGGCUGGACGUUAGGAAAUACUACUUCUCUGAAAGGGUGGUCAGGCACUGGAAUGGGCUGCCCAGAGAGGUGGUGGAGUCACCGAACCUGGUGGUGUUCAAAGAGCGUUUGGAUGUUGUGUUGAGGGACAUGGUUUAGCGAGAACCAUUGGUGAUGGGCGAAUGGUUGGACUGGAUGAUCCUGUGGGUCUUUUCCAACCUUAGCGAUUCUAUGAUUCUAUAAGAAACAUUGUAAGUGACGUAUGAGCUGAUCUACCAGACUAGGAACCAAGCCAGGAGAAAGGCAAACGAAGGGAUGGAUGCAUGCAAUAAAAGCCUUCAAAUGAUGCCAGGCUGGAUUUUUUUCCUGUGACAGACAAUUAUUGUACAGUUAUGGUCUUCUAAUUAACCAGUUAAAGUACAGUUUCUGCAAUUGUCCUACAUAUGUAGGUACCUGGAUAUUAAGCCUAUAGUUUCAUGAAGUACAGAAAUUCAGUUCCCUCUGAUCCCCCUGAGAAGAAAACAGAGAACAAAACCAACCACCAUUUACCUUCCCCUGAACACCUCUGCUGGUAACAGCUUUGUAAAAUAUUCCUGUGCAAUAUCUACUGAGCAUUAGCAUUGUGCACUUCAUACAGUGAUGCAUCACUGUCCUUUGCUGCAAUUUUAGUUAAUUACCCCAUGAAAAACUUAAAAGAUUUAAGCUCAUAAAAAGUAGUAAGUAAUACAUAUCAGUAGUUUGAUUUCUUGCUACAACACAAAGUUGGAAGUUCAGCCUUCAGUAACCUCUGAGCUAUUCCUUAUCCCCACAGCUUCUGUGACAGUACUACAGGAACGUCUAUCUGUACACAGCAUACAAUAUUACCCUUUAUGAAGGCAGCACUGGAACGGAGAUAUAUAAUUAAUUACAUUCAAUUUAGCACCAUGGAUUUAAGGAUUUGCCUUCCAUUAGCAAACAGAGGAGGGAAACUUAGAAAUUAGAUAACAUCUAUUAUAGACAGAUCAUAUAAAUGACUAUUUCACACUUAUUUAAUCCUUCAAAAGCACUAUCAGAGAAAAUAGUUGUUUCUUAUAAGCAGAUGUACUGUUUGAAGGCACUCAGAGCAAUAUUCAGAUGCUGCUGUAUGGAGUGUGUGUUAAGGAAAGCCCAAAGCAGUUGGGACAGUCUGCUGUAAGCUGGCAGGGUGAGGGCAGAGGCUGCAGACACAGUGCAUGGAUGGAUGUGUGCAUGGCUGGGGAUAGAUGCAUGGCCACACUGCCAAAGAGACCUGCCUAGCUCUUGGGCUGGGUGUAGAGGCAGACAACCCUGAUCUUCAGCACAAUGGGCAUGCAGCAAGACUAAACAGAAAAGAAGAUACUGGGAGAAAAGUGAUGGCUUGAGACUUUUUCUGAAAAAAAAAAAAAAUCAGAAGAACCCCAACUCUGCUACAACCAAAAAUCCAAUAAUCCAAAACACUUCAUCUGUGAAAAGAAUUCAAAUUCAGUUACUGACUGCACAACAAAUUACUGCAUCUCAGUCAGAGGCAGUGCGUGGAAGCUGAAACACUGAGAACACAGCUAGAACGUAUUCCAAACGCAGCCUUCACCCAGGACUCUCUGAAGCACAGUCGACAUCAGAGACAGCAGAGUAGGAAAUAUGUUCUCAGAUGGAAAGGUCUGCUACAUUCCUCCAAGAAUUGCCCUCUAGAGCCGGAGCCUCUUUGUCUAACAGGUACAGCUGAGGCAGGUCCCUGUGCUUUGAAACACUGCUGUUAGAGAAGAGUCAAGGAAUGGCCCUUGGUCCAAGACUGAAUGGUUGGUAUUGACAAACUCUGGAGUAGGCAGCAGGACUCUGCUUUCACGUAUACAUUUAUUUCACAGCCUGAAGCUGGAAAAGCUUUAAUUUAAAUCUUACAGAUAAAAUAGAAAAAAAAGCUAUUGAUCUUAAAAAUACCAUGCAUGCUAAAAAAAAAUAUUAGCAAUGAUUAAUAACCUUACAGAUAUAUUGUGAUAGUAUAGUAUAUGUAUUUUUCUUGUUAAAGUAUACAAUUUAGGUGUAAAACAUUUCAUUUAAUUCAUCUCCAACACUACUAACCUUUUCUUACUUAAAUCUGUAAUGCAAAUCUAUAAAAAUCACCAUCAGCUAUAACAGAUGAGUCCAUUGAAAGGCAGUGGCCCUAGGGAUGGCUCUGACCUCCUGAUCUUUCCAUCGCCACUGCUCACACAGCCAGGACUCCUUUGUCCAGAUCAAACCUUUCAGUAGCUGGCACUGAUGAUCAGAGCACUCUGAUCUCUCCCACAUCUCUCUGGACAUGGCUUUUAUGUUCUGCUGCGCCUUCAUGAGACUAAACAACAAUCAGCAUUUGACUCUAAAACUCUUCUCAUGGCCAUCUUACAGUUCAGACACGGUCCCCCCAGGAACCUGUAGCAUGGGGGUCAUAGAAAUCUCAUCCUGUUCCCCCUAGAUACAUUCACAUAUGUCCACAUCAGGUAGAAUACAUGUAGCAAAACCAAACUGGGCAUGCACAAUCACCUGUAGUUUCUUCAGGCAAGGCCACCUCAGAGAUGCAAGAAUAACAGCCUAGGAAAAGUUUUAGAGACCUUUUUCCUGCCAACAUACACAAACCUAGUUACUUUGUUCCAAGGGGCCAACUUCAUCAUGUACCAUACUGGUAGUUAAUUCGGCCUAAAUGCUUGCCAGUUUUUAAUACAGCUUCCCUAAAGUUGCUAUUAAUCUGGGGUGAAUAUAAAGUGCACUGCUUUCUCCCAGCUUGUUUCAUCCUCUGAUUACAUUCACAUAUUCUACGCAGCACAGCUGUGAACACUUCAGGAGCAGCCAUCCUGAAGAUGGAGAUUGACCAUCCAGUACAACCCACCCCAUCCCAACACUCUGAUUUUCUUUCUGUAGGGUUUCACCAUCGAUUGUAGCCUUCCCAAAUCUUAUCUAACACUAUCUCAUCUAGUCUGUGUUCCAAAAUUUGAUUUAUGCACCUGUAUUCAUUCAUUUUUCACUUGGCUUUGCUGUAAUCUGUCUAACAGCAGAGAUAGCAUUUGUACUUCUGACAGCUUUCAAAAGUUUACACAUCAUUUGAAAGCCAUGCAAUUGCAGAUAAAUAAAAAUAGUCUUCGUGUUUUAAUUGUUCGCAGUGCAACAGUCAGCGUUGGCAAUGGCAACAGUCAGUUACAGCUAAUGAUACCUUUUGAUAAAGGCAUCAAAUUGUUUUACCCCCAAACUAACCUGUACUACUUUGAGUAAUUUCUGCUGGCACCUCUGGCUUAUGUGCUGCUGUUGGUCAGUUUUUAUCCUAUCAAUGUGUACUGUUAUGGUAAUUGGAGGCUACAUUAGACUAUUUGUGUUUACCCUUAUUGCUAGUUAAUCCCCCCAGAACAGUGAAGCACCACUCACAGAUUUUCCAUGUUAGCUGUUAUUUUGCCACUUCUACACAUAAACUUGCUUGAAACCACCUCAAAUCACAGAUUUGUUGGCCAAGUUCCUAUUACCCUCAGCAGCUCUGUAUUAGGACCUACGUGGCUCAAUUAAUCAGGUGGCUAACACCAAGCAAGUCUAAAGACAAGGAUGAAUGGAAAGCAUCCUGGGGGACAGCUGUGCAGGAAAAUUAAAGUCAAAAAGGAAAGUUGCAGCAGAGACCACAGUAGGACAGAGGAGGAGCUCCUGGCUGUGAGCUGUCUGCAGCUCCAGGAGCCCUGGCUUUUGGCACUUUGUGAAGAAUUGCAGCUGCUGAUGCUGUCAAUAGUCCAGAAAAAGUAGCAGCUGCAAGGGAAGGAAGGAGGACUGCUUGGGACUUCCUGACUGACCUCACACUUCUGUAGCCCAGAUCAUUUCUCCUUCUCUCCUGCCAUACUUCACCCAUAAAAACACUGAUUACUAUGAUUUCAUGCAGGUGGAGGAAAUUUCACUUUCACGGCUUCAGAGUUGUUUCAUUUUCAGAUCCUAAGGGUUUCCACAGCUUGGAGAGAUCACAGGAGUGAUUUUUUCAAGCGUGGGGCUUGGGGGCUCUCAGUGUUGGGACCUGCCUUUUUACUACUGCUGGAAAGGUCCAGAACUUGAGGGUUGAAAACUAUCAAGUGAACAUCAUACAACAAAAUACAAUUUUCACAGAAAAUGGUUUCUCUUUGUUAAAUUUCACAUCUACUCAUUGUAAAAGCAUCCCCAUAAAACAAAAAAAAAGUGUUCAUGUUAUUUUGUGUGAAAAGACAAAACACUUAUUAGAAAGCAUAACGCUUUUUGAUUCUUGUCUUACAGAAUAAGCUACGAAUCCUCAACAUAUAAAGUGACUAUAAAGUAAAAACUAAUUUCUCAUGUAGUUAUUCUGUUCCUGAGACCUUUCUGGCUAUCUAAUAUAUUUCCAAAGGAACAUGUUGUUUUGAUAACUGAAUACUCAAUUAGAUAUUCCUCUAGCAAACCAAUUCAGAACUUCCUAUCACGAUCUUCUGUACAGCUACGCAGAUAGGGCAUAUAAUUGGACAAAACUUUUCACAGCCACAAGAUUAAGUUUCUUCUUUAAUAAAUAAUUCUUUUUAUUAUUAAAACAUAUGUUAAAUGUAUAUUGUAGACAACUGUAUAGCCAUUUUGGAAGGCUUAUAGUAAGACCUUGUGAUGUUAUACUGAGAUGACAAUAGCAGGGUGGCAAAGUCUUUGGCUACAGCAAAUGAGAAUGAGCCCAAAUUCAGCAGCCACAGAUGCAGAGACAGAUAAAAAGAGCUACUUACUUCUAGAAGGCCUCAGAUAAGCAGGGAACCCUGGCAAGAUAUGCCCUCACCUCCACUGACAACCCUUAAAUGAGGUCUGGGAAGGGGUGGAUCCUGGCUGCACCCCUUCCAGUCACUCAGGUGCAUUGCAUACACCUGACCUCCUUUGGGUUUGCCCUGCCUUCCCACC